CCUCUGUGACAGGCGCUAACACUCUAGAGUCAAGAGUGCCUUACAGGGACAAUGCACAGUGGUUUGCAGGGACAGAACUUUCCCAGAGCUGUGGAGAUUGGCAUUGCAGCUGAACUUGUGCCUGGAUUGCAAAGUCAUUCCGGCACUUCUCCUUCACACAGCUAUUGAUGGAGCCUAGUUGGAGCACAAGACCAGAGCAUACUGGAGAGCCCAAAACCAAGGGAUGAUCACCAAGAACAGCGCAGAGUGCUACAGAGGGCAGAGCUGGAGAUAUGACUCAAGCCCUUUGGAGGAGCCCAGAAGAUAAUGUGUGUGGAUCCCCAACAUUGGAACAAGAAGGUGUGAAGUUGAAGUUGCCUCGGAGACUAUAUUAGAGAUGCCAGAGCCAUAGAAUACCUGCCAAGGAAAACUGCUAAUAGGAAGUGGAGCCAGCCAAGAGAAAGAAUUGUGUUUCAGUCACCAAAGCUGAAAGGAGUUAGAGAUUAGACAUGAAAAUGCAGAGUUUGGCGUUUCCCCAGCUGAUUUCUGGUCUGGCUUUGGUCCAGUAUUUCCUCACUAUAAUUUUGGACUGGUCAUGUGCAUCCUGUGAUGUUGAAAAUACACAAUUUCCAUUAUGAUUGAGAUUUUUUUUCAGGUGAUUACAGUUAAGAGAUUGCAUAAGUCUCAGAAGAGACUCUGAACUUUGGACUUUUAAACAUUGUUGAGACUAUGAUAUACUAUGGGGACUUUUGCAUUGUGGCUAUGAUGGCCCCUAUAGACUUGUGUGUUUAAACAAGGAUGUAAGGCCAGGAAAUGGAAUGUGGUGGUUUGAAUGUGCUUGGCCCAUGGGGAUUGGCACGACUCAGGUGUGUCAAUGUUGGGGUAGGUAUGGCCUUGGAAGAUGUGUGGCACUUAGCGAGGUGGGUGUUGAGGCUCCUAUGGUCAAGCUUCAUCCAGUGUGGGAGACUGCCUCCUCGUGGCUACCUAGGGAAGACAGCCUGUCCUGUACUGGGUACAAUCAGAUCAAGAUGUAGAACUCUUGGCUCCUUCAACACCUUGACUGCCUGCUCACUGCUAUGCUCCUACCAUGAUGAUAAUGGACUGAACCUCUGACAAUGUAAGCCAGCCCCAACUAAAUAGAUUUCUUUAUAAGACUUGCCAUGGUCAUGGUGUUUUUUCAUAGCAAUAGAACCGUAACUAAGGCACACACUCAACAAUGCUUAUGCCUUUUACAAUAAUUGAAUGGUGUGAACCCAAAUGGACAGGCAGUUGUACAACAUGGCUCUCAUGUGGCUAUCACUAAAAUUGUGACAUCUGUUAA